rnacentral:tRNA from 1 species
UGCUAUAGCUCAGCUGGUAGAGUAGCUGAUUCGUAAUCAGUUGGUCGCAAGUUCGAAUCUUGUUAGCA